rnacentral:rRNA from 1 species
UGCUAGUCGUGCGCUUCAGCCAAAACGAGGCGCGGCAUACAGCUCAGUAACACGUGGCUAAUCUGCCCUUGGGACGAGAACAACCCCGGGAAACUGGGGCUAAUUCUCGAUAGGUGAAGAACUCUGGAAUGAGUCUUCGCUUAAAAAACUUCACGUUACGCUCGUGAAGUCGCCCAAGGAUGAGGCCGCGACCGAUCAGGUUGUUGGUGAGGUAAUGGCUCACCAAGCCUUUUACCGGUGCGGGCCGUGAGAGCGGGAGCCCGGAGAUGGGCACUGAGACAAGGGCCCAGGCCCUACGGGGCGCAGCAGUCGCGAAAACUUUGCAAUACACGAAAGUGUGACAGGGCUAUCCCGAGUGCCAUCCGCUGAGGAAGGCUUUUACCCAGUAUAGAUCGCUGGGGGAAUAAGGAGAGGGCAAGUCUGGUGUCAGCCGCCGCGGUAAUACCAGCUCUCCGAGUGGUGUGGAUGUUUAUUGGGCCUAAAGCAUCCGUAGCUGGCUAAGUUAGUCCCUUGUUAAAUCCACCGAAUUAAUCGUUGGAUUGCGGGGGAUACUGCUUGGCUAGGGGACGAGAGAGGCAGACGGUAUUUCCGGGGUAGGGGUGAAAUCCUAUAAUCCCGGGAAGACCACCAGUGGCGAAGGCUGUCUGCUAGAACGCGCCCGACGGUGAGGGAUGAAAGCUGGGGGAGCGAACCGGAUUAGAUACCCGGGUAGUCCCAGCUGUAAACGAUGCAGGCUAGGUGUUUGGACGGCCACGUGCCGUUCUAGUGCCGCAGGAAAGCUGUUAAGCCUGCCGCCUGGGGAGUACGAUCGCAAGAUUGAAACUUAA